rnacentral:rRNA from 1 species
GUGGGGAAUAUUGCACAAUGGGGGAAACCCUGAUGCAGCAACGCCGCGUGGAGGAUGACACAUUUCGGUGUGUAAACUCCUUUUAUAAGGGAAGAUAAUGACGGUACCUUAUGAAUAAGCACCGGCUAACUCCGUGCCAGCAGCCGCGGUAAUACGGAGGGUGCAAGCGUUACUCGGAAUCACUGGGCGUAAAGGAUGCGUAGGCUGUAAUAUAAGUCAGAAGUGAAAUCCAACGGCUUAACCGUUGAACUGCUUUUGAAACUGUUUUACUAGAAUAUGGGAGAGGUAGAUGGAAGUGGUGGUGUAGGGGUAAAAUCCGUAGAUAUCACCAGGAAUACCGAUUGCGAAGGCGAUCUACUGGAACAUUAUUGACGCUGAGGCAUGAAAGCGUGGGGAGCAAACAGGAUUAGAAACCCGGGUAGUCC